rnacentral:rRNA from 1 species
GAUGAACGCUGGCGGCGUGCUUAACACAUGCAAGUCGAACGAAGCACUCUAUUUGAUUUUCUUCGGAAAUGAAGAUUUUGUGACUGAGUGGCGGACGGGUGAGUAACGCGUGGGUAACCUGCCUCAUACAGGGGGAUAACAGUUGGAAACGACUGCUAAUACCGCAUAAGCGCACAGGAUUGCAUGAUCCGGUGUGAAAAACUCCGGUGGUAUGAGAUGGACCCGCGUCUGAUUAGCCAGUUGGCAGGGUAACGGCCUACCAAAGCGACGAUCAGUAGCCGACCUGAGAGGGUGACCGGCCACAUUGGGACUGAGACACGGCCCAAACUCCUACGGGAGGCAGCAGUGGGGAAUAUUGCACAAUGGGGGAAACCCUGAUGCAGCGACGCCGCGUGAGCGAAGAAGUAUUUCGGUAUGUAAAGCUCUAUCAGCAGGGAAGAAGAAUGACGGUACCUGACUAAGAAGCACCGGC